CGCCUCUUGCCUCAAAUAAGAGGUCCAGCCUGCCCAGUGACACUGUUCAACGGCCGCGGUAUCCUAACCGUGCGAAGGUAGCGUAAUCACUUGUUCUUUAAAUGAGGACUAGUAUGAAAGGCACCACGAGAGUCAUACUGUCUCCUUUUUCCAAUCAGUUAAACUAAUCCCCCCGUGAAGAAGCGGGAAUAAUUCUAUAAGACGAGAAGACCCUAUGGAGCUUUAAACAAAUAACACUUGCCUACCCUUCCCUUUAAUUUCAGAAAAAUUUUUCACUUUGGCACCAUACUUAUAAGUUUUUGAUUGGGGUGAUCACGGAACAAAAAACAACCUCCGCAAUGAAAGACAUUCCCCUAACUAAGUUAAGAGCUACAACUCUAUACAUCAACAAAUUGACCCUAAUUGACCCAAUAUAUUGAUCAAUGAACCAAGUUACCCUAGGGAUAACAGCGCAAUCUACUUCAAGAGCUCCUAUCGACAAGUGGGUUUACGACCUCGAUGUUGGAUCAGGGUAUCCUAAUGGUGCAGCCGCUAUUAAAGGUUCGUUUGUUCAACGAUUAAAACCCUA
rnacentral:rRNA from 1 species